rnacentral:misc_RNA from 1 species
CGGUAGGUUCUCGGUCAACGCUUCAUGUCCAUCGCCCCUUCUCACUCUCCUGCUUCUGCAAGCUCCCCACCCCGCACCACCACCCUCACGUCCGCCUCGGCAACUUCCACCGCCAGAGAGCCAUACGCACCAGACGGCAUAGUCCAAGAGGAUAACGCUACAUAGCAAUGAGCUGUGCCAAAGAAGCGUCGCCGAGCCUGUCUCAGCAGAAACGGAGCGACGUGCGUCGCGCUGGUCUCUCCGGGUUCUCCAGCGCCAUCUACCGCGGUGCGCUGAACCACAGCGCCUCCGCAGAGCUGCAGGAGGGCUACCGCAUCUUGACGAGUGGCCAAAAAGCGAAUAUCAUCAGCGACAAGGACCUCUUCAAGGCCGUCCACGGCUGCGGCCUGCACACCACCGAGGAGGAGGUGAAUGAUCUUCUCCGUGUCGUGCACCAGGAUGAGCGCACGCUUGGGCUGGAGUUCUCGGAGUUCAUGAUGUUAAUGACGAAGGAGAUCGAUGAGAAGUCGAUCGAAGAGAUGCGGAGCGCCUUCAGCGUGCUGGACACAAAUAAAACAGGCACCAUCACCAAGAAGCAGUUCACGGAGCUCUUCGUCUCCUCCGGUGAGCACAGCAGUGCCGAGGAGCUUGAGGAGCUGAUGCUGCUGGCCGAGACGUCGGAAGAGUUGGAGGUGGUGGACUACAACAAGCUCAUCAAUGAGCUCGCCAUUCUACUAAACAAGAUGUAGGGAUCGGCACAUGGCAGGGAACGUUAACGUGAGGCUCCUGUACGUGGUGAUAGCAAAACGCAUGUAUGCAUGCGUGUUUGUGCGUUGGGUGGAGGUGGAUCUCAUCGCCACUCUCACGUGUCUUCUUUUUUUUUGGCAGGAGGGAGGAAAGGUGGGGGUCCUCCGUUUUCGGCUCCAUCUUGCUCUCGCGACUCGCAUGCGUUUUGCGGGCACCGCUAGUGGUUGUUUGGUGCGGUGGUUGUCUGUGUUUCCGCGGUGCACCACGUUCGCUUCCUUUUACUUAUCUUUCGUGCUGAAUCUCAACUGCCCACCAUCACCACCACCACCAGCAGCAGCAGCCUCCCCUUCUCCCUCCCUCCCUGCGCCCUGACCCCGACUCUCUCUCUCUUCACUUCGCACGUUGCGGUCUUGCACUCACGUGUUUCUGUUCGUUGCAGCUGUUCCUCAUGUUGUGUGUGUGUGUGUGUGUGUGUGUGUGUGUGUGUGUGUGUGUGUGUGUGUGUGUGUGUGUGUGUUUCCCCAUCUC